GCCAGGCAUGGUGGUGCAUGCCUGUAAUCCCAGCUACUCGGGAGGCUGAGGCAGGAGAAUCCCUUGAAUCCAGGAGGUGGAGGUUGCAGUGAGCGGAGAUCAUGCCACUAUACUCCAGCCUGGGUAACAGAGUGAGACUCUGUCUCAC
ensembl:misc_RNA Metazoa_SRP Metazoan signal recognition particle RNA